rfam:Candidate division WWE3 bacterium RIFCSPLOWO2_01_FTLL_37_15 rifcsplowo2_01_scaffold_34238, whole genome shotgun sequence.
GCCGAGGUACCAAAGUGGUCAAAUGGAACUGACUGUAAAUCAGUGGGCGUAAGCCUUCGGGGGUUCGAAUCCCUCCCUCGGCA